rnacentral:lncRNA from 1 species
UUGAAUUUUUGAAAGAUUGUCGAUUUGCUGGUAAGUUUGUCGAUUUUCAAAGAAAGAGAUUAUAUGAGAUCUAAAUCUGAUUUUUUUUUGUGUUUUGUCGUAUUCAAUUUUUCACUCGAAAUACAGUUGUUUUCAACAGGCCGACAUGGUUCAAGGUUUUCCUCUCAAAUCUCCAGACAUGUGACAUGAAUCUAGGACGUCCGACAAUGAAGUUCAACGUUCUCAAUCUCUCCUGGUUCAUUAGUAUUCGCACAUCUAUCUUCAUGAUCUUUUUAUCCCUUUAUGUUACGAUGUUUUCUUUUACUAUUUUUCACCCAUUUAGACCUAGGAUUCUAUCGUUCGUUUGUGUUUUUGCUAGUCAUUUUUUGGAGCAUUUUAUUUGUCUACAAAACGUAAUUUCUUUCCGACAACAGUCUAUAUUAUCAAUAG